CCCUAAAGUUGCCCUCCCUCUCUCCCUCCCUAAACCCCACCCCACAGUUUUGGGAGCAGUCGUUGUCGAGGUCGUGGUCUGGGUGUGGCGUCGAAAUCGGUGUACAUGAUCAUUCCCAGCCGGAUUUCGUUUCAUUUUGUUUCCUCUGUUGUUAAAAUUUGCAUUUGAUGGUGAUAAAAUUGGCUGUCGAGUGGCGACAAACAGAGUGGAUUUCUUCCUGGAAUAGAUCAGACUUUGGAGCUUGCGGAGGGCAUGGGAUCUGGAUCUCAGGCCGGCAUCGGAGUGCGCUUGUGUGGAUCUGCCGGUCUGGAGUUCGCACGUAUCCCGAGGCAUCCUUCAUUUAGAUAAAAAUCUAUGAAAGGGAGCCUCUGUCAUGGGGAGGGUCGCAUGGCGGAGCUCUCCUGGUGUGGAGGAAGAGAUCUCGCAGCGGCAGCGACCAAAUAACGUGUGAGGCACAGUGUGCACUGGGAGUGCGGUGGUGGCAUGGGUGCGGCCAACUCCAACCCUCAUUACGUUGUGAAGCGCAUACUGGUUGGAUGUGAUCCUUUUCCCAACUGCUGAGGGCUACGUGGGCAUAUGCUUCUUUUGCAUCCCUGUACAUUCUGACACCAUGUGAAACCAGAUUUAUUUAAGCACAAAGGGGAGAAGGAGGAGGAGAGGGUGUUUAAGCUUCACAUUCUUGUAUCCUCACUCUGCGAAGAUAAUUAAUUACUCUUUUUCACACAAAACGGGGCAUACUUGAUGCUUUGGAUUAAUGAAUGUUAAUAGAGAUAGAGCAUCUUCGUUUCUAUUUGCUAGGAUAUAACCAAGAACAUCUAAAGCUGAUUCUAACCUUAAAUGCAAUUUUUAAAAUUGCAAUUGAUGUAGUUAAUUCUAAACUUAAAGCAAUAUUAGAUCACAUUGUGGCAACUUUGGGGUUUCAACUUAUAUUCAUUUCUA